rnacentral:lncRNA from 1 species
GGCGGCGGUGGUUGGCGUCAGGCUGUGGACGAAGAGGCGGUCUCGGUGGACACACUUGUUGGAGCUCGGCAGCAGCCUUCUCCCGGGUAGGCGCCUGGGGGCUGAAUCUCUGGUCCACCCUGUGUCACCUGCACCUGGUACACCCCAGGGCGGGCCCCUGGGUGCCGGAACAGACAACAGCCAGGUGACGCUGUGGCCUAGGCCCAGUCUAGUUACCCGGAGCCCUGGGAGGGGUGGGGAGGCAGACCCUGCCCAGGGCCAGUGCCUGGAGCAUGGUUGCUGUGGAUGUGGCAGAGGCUUGCCUGAGAUGUGGGCUAGGCCCUUCCAGUGGGUCAGGUCUGGGGUGGUGCCCAGGGUUGUGCACCCUCAGGCUGCUGCCCAGUGGACCAGUGGCCUGUCAGCCCCGACUGGCGUUCACGGGGUCCCAGCAUGGGUGUGUGGGCGGCUGACCCAGGCUCUUAUGAUGCUGUGGCUGUUGUUCGUCCAUUGUCCCAUUAAUGCCAAGCUGGUAGGACCCACCUGGCUGGCUGUGUUCUGCAUGACCCGAGGGCCCACUGGGGUUCUGGAAGAGGAUGGAGACCAUCCCUGCUUGGCUGUGAUUCCGUCCUCUUGACCUGUGGUGGCCGUGACCUGAGGUGGGGCCUCUGGGAGCAGGCGCCUCCUCUUUCCUCCCCCAUGGCGGGCACCUGCCUGUCCACCUCUGAAUCUGGGUGUCAGCAUCAAGGUAGGAGUGCAGGGCCGGCUUGUUAACUGGGAUUCUGUCCAGCCCAGCCAGUGUCAGCGUGGCCCAGGGGCCACCACGAGCCCCUGGUCCCGCUUCCCUCCUGGUUCCGGGCUCCAGCUACGGGCCACGUCGAUCUUCACACGACUCUGGACUGCUGGGGUCACUGUCCCUGCUUCCCCACCGAGAGAAGUAGCCGAGACCCCGACCAGGCCUGCGCUCCCUUGGCACUCAGCAUCUCCCAGCCACGACAGCACCGGUGGCUCAGAAAUAAGGUCCCGGGACAGAUGUGCCCGGCCAGACAGCGAGCUCUCCUGCCAGACCAGAGCCUCUUCUCUCCCCAGCACCCAGCCGGAAGCAGGGCUGGGAACAGGCACCGUGCGUGUCCGUGGAGGAUGAGAGCGCGACUUUGGGACCGGCCCUACCCCACAGCCUCACGGAGGGAACGGGUCCAGGCGGGGUGCUUUCUGUGAAGCCUAUGGCUGUUAGCAGAGCGCCCUGAAACCCCACCACUAGGCCGGACGCGGUGGCUCAGGCCUGUCUGUAAUCCCAGCACUUUGGGCGACCGAGGCAGUGGAUGACCUGAGGUCAGGAGGCUGAGGCAGGAUCAUGAGGUCAGGAGUUUGAGACCAGCCUGACCAACAUGGUGAAACCCCGUCUCUACUAAAAGUACAAAAAUUAGCCGGCAUGGUGGCGGGCGCCUGUGAUCCCAGCUACUCGGGAGGCUUAUGCAGGAGAAUCGCUUGAACUCAGGGGGUGGAGGUUGCAGUGAGCCGAGAUUGCACCACUGCACUCCAGCCUGGGUGACAGAGCAAGACUCCAUCUUAAAAAACAAAAAACAAAAAAAACACCACUUGUCUGACCCUGUUCAAGGAGGAAAGCUCUUAUGGAAGUUUUUCAUCUUUGGGAGGCCAAGGAAGUGGGGGCCUGGGGGAUCCCCUCUCAGUUCUGUGCAGAUAAAAUCCCCAGCCCUGGCCCUGCAGUCCUGCUGAGGAGGGACUGGGGGUGCAGGGGGAGGGGGAUUCACACGGGAAAGGAAAUGCCAGCUGGAUCCUACCCCUGCUGCCCGCGCUGUGCAGGACGGAGGAGGCCUUGGUGUCCCUGCAGUAGCUCCGAGCAUGGAGGCCGUGGACCCCAGAGAUGCUCCCUGCAGGACCCCACACUGGGGCUUCCUUGCAGUCGGCCAGCAGGGGGACCUCGCUGUGUCCUCUGGUUGGAGGGUGGCAGCCGCUGCCCCACCUUCCCACCUGGCUGGCAGAACCUUGUCCUGUGUCCCCCAGAAGCUUGCAGCUGCCCCCGCCCCUGUGCGUGGGGGCCCGCCUGGACCGUGGUAAGUGAUUUAACACCUUAACACAGAAAUAAACGCCAAGCGGCUUUAGGGGUGGGUGUUUCGGUCACAUAAUGCAACACAUGCGGUAAUGUAAAUAAAGGCGUUAUCACCAGA